UACGUAGGGUGCGAGCGUUAAUCGGAAUUACUGGGGCGUAAAGCGUGCGCAGGCGGUUCGUUGUGUCGGCGGUGAAGCCCCGGGCUUAACCUGGGAAUGGCCGUUGAAACUGGCGAACUGGAGUGUGGCAGAGGGGGGGGUGGAAUUCCGCGUGUAGCAGUGAAAUGCGUAGAGAUGCGGAGGAACACCGAUGGCGAAGGCAGCCCCCCUGGGCCACUACUGACGCUGAGAAGCGAAAGCAUGGGGGAGCGAACAGG
rnacentral:rRNA from 1 species